UGGAAUAAUAGACCUUGUAUGUUUAGAUGGAAAAAUCAGGAAAGGUUGUAGCAAAAUGGGAUUCCUUUGCUGCCAAAGUUUUCAAUGAUAUCUGCUGCGAAGAAGUUCUUGCCCACAAUCGCCCUCAACAAUGUUUGAACAAUGUGGGAUAUGCAAAUCUGGUUCGGAAAUUUUAUGAACGAACCAAAAGGCCAUACACUGAAGGGCAAAUGAAGAACCGAUGGGAUGUACUGAAAAAAAAGUAUACACAAUGGAAGACCUUAAACUUGAGAGCCACCGGAUUGGGAAGGGAUCCCAAUACUAGUUGUAUUGUUGCUGAUGAUGAUUGGUGGAAGGAACAAGAAAAGGCCAUGCCAGGAUGUACUUCUAAUUUCAGAUUUUUACCAUUUGAGCAUGAGGACCAAAUGAGAAUAAUGUUUGAAGCUGUUAUAGUUACAAAUGAGACCUCUUAUGUUCCAACUGGGCAUGGCAAUGAUGAUGAAAUUGGGGAGGGUGAUGUUGCCGGUAAUGAUGUUGCUGGUAAUGAUGAUGGAGAGAUAGGGCAUGGGAGAACAGGAAGAAGCAUUAGUGUGUUUUUUUAUUGUCCUUAAGUUGGUUGUGUGAGACAUUUUCCUUGCAUCCUUAAGUUUGAUGUGUGUGAUACUGGAGUAUUUGUUUCAUAAGACAUUUAUCAGUUGUGUUGUACCAAUAAAAAUUUGGCUUGCUAAUUGUUACUUUUUACAGGCUUUCAUUAUCUAUGAGUUCUUCUAGCUGUUCUA